UAGUAACAUCAUCAAAUUCAAAAAAGACACUUCAAGAUUUGUUGAGAUUAUUGUUGGGAUCCUGCAAAAUGGACGUGCUUUUGUCCCUUUUGCCCCUGUCAUUAUAAGAAACAGAUGUAAUAGAAAAAAUUUUCAGUAGAAAGAUGUAAAUAGAGAAUUUAAAUGAAAGUAGCUCUUGCAACCUUCUACUUUUCUGGUGCAGUUUUGUCAUCCUUCAGUUCCUGUUAUAGAUUAGUCUACUGAACAAGCUUGCUCUCUUAGGUUUUUAUUUUAUAUUUAAAAGUUAAAUGAUAAUUGUCCAGCAUUGUCAUGUGUUAGGCCUCUUAUUAUUAUGUCAUUUAUUAUUAGACUGCGUUUAUAUUAUAUUAUUAGGCAACAAUUAUUUUAUUAGACUUUAUUGAAUAAAUAGGGAAAUGGAAGGAAAAGUCUGUGGACAUUUUAUUAACGUAUAUAAGAUUAUAAGAAGUCUUUUACUCCGGCAUUGUUGAAUGAGUUUGUGCUAGUGGCAACUGCAAUGCUGGGGUACUCAGAUUUGGAAAUUUAUUUAAACACAAUAAGACAUGAUUACAUAAUAGUUCGCUCCUAAGUUUAUCCUUGAGCAUUAACUGACUCAAAAAUGGUGUAAAGAAAAUAAUUUUUAAACUUCUUUGAAAAGUAUGGAGUGAGUAGGAUUAAUAAAGGGAGUUGAGACUUUUGGACAGGAGAAUAGUUUUGUUGUGGUGCUAACUUAAUGAUUAUUUUUUCUCUUUGGUACAUAUUACUCUGUGUAUUUGCUUUAUAUGUAUUUGCUUUAUGUUUGUACUUUGUAGUGUAAAUUCAAUUUCAUCGUAUGUUACUCUUUUUCUUUAUGUGUAUCCUCCUGUUAAAUAUAGCUUUAUAUGUACAAUUAAGAUGCAUCUUUGAAAAUAUUAAU
rnacentral:lncRNA from 1 species